rnacentral:rRNA from 1 species
UACGUAGGGGGCAAGCGUUGUCCGGAUUUAUUGGGCGUAAAGAGUGUGUAGGCGGACCGUUAAGUACCUUGUGAAAUCCCCCGGCUCAACCGGGGAACGGCUGGGUAUACUGGCGGUCUUGAGCCAUCCAGGGGCAGUCGGAACAGACGGUGGAGCGGUGAAAUGCGUAGAUAUCGUCUGGAACGCCGAAGGUGAAAACAGACUGCUGGGGAUGCGCUGACGCUGAGACACGAAAGCCAGGGGAGCGAACGGG